ACCAUACUGGCAAAACAUAUUCUUUGCCAGACGAAACGAAAAGGCAAUUGAUGUUAUUUGCUUCAUAGCAUCAUUAUUAGUCCUUAAAACCGUUCUUUUCUAUUUUUUUCUGCUUGGUAGUUGGUACCACAUGCAUUCAUCAAUUUUAAGACUGAUAAUGUGAAGCAUAGAAGAAACUUUCUCCAAAUUAAUGUUGUUGAUUUGUCCAAGCAAUUGAAGCAAAUUGUAAAUCUAUCUAGUUAUGAGUAUUUUCAUUAGACUUUAGGGGGUCAGGAUUCCCCUUGUUCUUCUUGGUUAAUUUAUGUGCCAUUAGUCUUAUAGCUUAAUUUAUCUUCCUAUCCCUGUGAUAUGAGGUUUUAUUUAGGUUUCAGCUGAGUGGUUGAGAUUUAUAAUGGGAUUUUAGCAUUUAAGAAAUACUUUAUUGCAGUUUACUUCCUACUGGACUAAACUAUUUUUCUUUGUUUCCAUUCCAUCUAUAUGGAAUUAAUUAUAUUCCACUGCACAACAAAUAUAAAAUAUUUGCAGGUUGCUCUGGAAAGAUACAACA
rnacentral:misc_RNA from 1 species